AUUGAACGCUGGCGGCAUGCUUUACACAUGCAAGUCGAACGGCAGCGCGGGCUUCGGCCUGGCGGCGAGUGGCGAACGGGUGAGUAAUACAUCGGAACGUGCCCAGUAGUGGGGGAUAGCUCGGCGAAAGCCGGAUUAAUACCGCAUACGACCUGAGGGUGAAAGCGGGGGAUCUUCGGACCUCGCGCUAUUGGAGCGGCCGAUGGCAGAUUAGCUAGUUGGUGGGGUAAAGGCCUACCAAGGCGACGAUCUGUAGCUGGUCUGAGAGGACGACCAGCCACACUGGGACGGAGACACGGCCCAGAGUCCUGCGAGAGGCAGCAGUGGGGAAUUUUGGACAAUGGGCGAAAGCCUGGCCCAGCAAGGCGGCGUGUGUGAUGAAGGCCUUCGGUUUGUGAAGAAGUUCUGGCGGGAGCGAAAAGGACUGUGCCAAUACCACGGUUCGAUGACGGUACCCGCAGAAGAAGCACCGGCUAACUACGUG
rnacentral:rRNA from 1 species